rnacentral:rRNA from 1 species
UAGGGAAUCUUCGGCAAUGGACGAAAGUCUGACCGAGCAACGCCGCGUGAGUGAAGAAGGUUUUCGGAUCGUAAAACUCUGUUGUUAGAGAAGAACAAGGACGUUAGUAACUGAACGUCACCUGACGGUAUCUAACCAGAAAGCCACGGCUAACUACGUGCCAGCAGCCGCGGUAAUACGUAGGUGGCAAGCGUUGUCCGGAUUUAUUGGGCGUAAAGCGAGCGCAGGCGGUUUCUUAAGUCUGAUGUGAAAGCCCCCGGCUCAACCGGGGAGGGUCAUUGGAAACUGGGAGACUUGAGUGCAGAAGAGGAGAGUGGAAUUCAAUGUGUAGCGGUGAAAUGCGUAGAUAUAUGGAGGAACACCAGUGGCGAAGGCGGCUCUCUGGUCUGUAACUGACGCUGAGGCUCGAAAGCGUGGGGAGCAAACAGG